CCCAAUUAGGAUAUUUACUAAGCCCCUUGCGAGUCAUUGUAGUAAUACAAGGCAGACGGCUCAGUAACGCGUAGUCCACUCUUAACCUAUGGACGGGAAUAACCUCGGGAAACUGAUUAUCAUGCCCGAUAGAACAUUAUGCCUGGAAUGGUUUAUGUUCCAAAUGAUUUAUCGCCGUAGGAUGGGACUGCGGCCUAUCAGUUUGUUGGUGAGGUAAUGGCCCACCAAGACUAUUACAGGUACGGGCUCUGAGAGGAGUGGCCCGGAGAUGGGUACUGAGACACGGACCCAGGCCCUAUGGGGCGCAGCAGGCGAAAAAACUUUGCAAUGUGCGAAAGCACGACAAGGUUAAUCCGAGUGGUUUCUGCUAAAGGAACCUUUUGUCGGUCCUAGAAACACCGAUGAAUAAGGGGUGGGCAAGUUCUGGUGUCAGCCGCCGCGGUAAAACCAACACCUCAAGUGGUCAAGGAUGAUUAUUGGGCCUAAAGCAUCCGUAGCCGGCUUUGUUAGUUUUCGGUUAAAUCUGUACCCUCAACCUACAGGCUGCCGGGAAUACUGAAAAGCUAGGUAAUGGGAGAGGGUUAACCGUACUCGGUAGGAAAGGGGUAAAAUCCCUUUGAUCUUUGAUGACCACCUGUGGCGAAAGGGCGGUUACCCAAAUACGUCCGACAGUGAGGGAAUGAAAACUGGGGGGAAACAACCAGAAUAUAUCCCCCCGGUAGUCCCCACUGUAAACUAUGCAAACCUCGUGAUGCAUUGGCUUUGUGGCCCAAUGCACUGCUUGCAGGAAACCCUUAAAAUUUGGCGCCCGGGAAAA
rnacentral:rRNA from 1 species